AUCACAUUCAUUACCAUCCCUACGGCUUUUCCUCGAACAAGAUACAUGAGUGCUUUUCCUGUUGAACUUGACAUACAGGACCAUGAUACAUUAAAAAUAUGUAAUAGGGUAAACCAUCCAUGUCUUCUAAAGGUAUAAGUACUUUUCAAGUGGCUAGAGCUGUCACAAUAACUCUGUUGAUCGACUCAACCAUCUUUCCUGCAACUAGGAAGCUUUGGGAGGGGUUCCUGUAAGCAUUGCAAAUUAUUCAACUAAUCAGAUUCAUCUGUAGAAUAAUCAGCAUCCUUAGAACACCCCUUCUUUAGCCUCUCUUGGAGAUCUAACUGCUUGGGUAACACUAGCUCGAUUCUCCGACCUGCCUCUAAAAAGUACCUCUCAAGCACCAUAGCAGCAGCGUAGGCGUCCUGUUUCCCUUCACGAGCAGAUUUUCCGAGGCCCCUAUCAACCAUGUAGCUCAUUGCGUCAAUUGUUGUCCCGUACUCUUCCUGCAGAUAUACUCUCCAUCCCCUCUCAGCAGCGCGAACAGCAAGCCUACCAGCAACACUCCGAACUUUGUUCGAUUGUGGAGUUUCUUUUCCAUCACUUGACAAAGGGAGUCCAAUUAUAAACUCAUCCACUUCCUGUUUUUGGGCAAUAUCAAUAAUUCGAAGUUCAAGCUUCUGUCCUCUCAACUCCAAAACCGUUAAGGGUCGAAAGUUGAAGCCUUUACUAAGGGCGAGUCCAGUACGGGCAAGCCCCAAAUCCACCCCAAGACUAAAACCUCCUCUCCAUGUUGAAUCGAGCUUCCGUCGAACCGCAUUUGGGGGAAUUUCCUCAACCGAUACUGCUCUUAUUGCCAGAGUUUUUGUAGUUAAUCGCGGAGAGUUCCUGGCCGGCCGAAAUGUCACCGGCGGCAAGCUUACCGCUGCUA
rnacentral:misc_RNA from 1 species